UUCACAAGGGGGUGGGCCUUGGACGGCGUAUAUGAUUGAGGAUAAAUGAGAUGUUAAACCAUUUGGAGACAACGGUGGUGGAGAUGUAGCCGUCCUGGCGGACAGCCCCAACUCCCAUGUUUGGUGAGGGGAGGACGGGGGCUGUGGAUGUGGAGGACAGCCGUGCGAGGAAAUGCGCGGAAAGAAACGAGCGGACCCGUUAGAUUAGAAAAUGGACGGGUCCAGUGGGACGUCACGAUGCGAUGUCGCCACAAAGCUCAAUACGCCGCUCAUAAACGCGCUCAUUUGGCUCCCAGCAUGCCGCACGUCCGGAGGGACCGCUGGUUACCAGAAGCUCAUCCAAGCCCAGUGGAACCCACCCUGCUGCAUCUGAGGAGGAAACAAAACUUUUGAAAGCACCAUCAGAAGUGAAGAUGAGGGCUUCCUCCAACUUCCAGGUUUCUGAUCAGUCUGGAGUUGGGAAUCAUCAGAUCUUUGCCUCUCAGACUCUUUUGGACUGUGACUUUGAGCCGAGUAAUGUACGCUGCACACAGGACUACAUCAUUAACCGUGAAAAUACAGGAGGAAACACACAGAUUUUGUGAAAGCAGGCAGACAGUGGGCAGAGUUAAAACGGUCAGGUCUUAAAACUGGUAAUGGAUACAAAAGUAACCGUUUUCGGCUGCUGCAGCAGAACAUCUGUUUCUGAAUGAAGACAGAAACAAACAAGACAGAAGAUUUUGAUACAAGUGGACAAACAUUUGGCCAUCAUGAGGCUAAAGCUGAGAGAGUAAAGUACAAUAAAGUGAUUUGCGUAUGUGUGUGUGUGUGUGUGUGUGUGUGUGUGUGUGUGUGUGUGUGUGUGUGUGUGUGUGUGUGUGUGU